AAUCAACGCUGGCGGCGUGCCUCAGACAUGCAAGUCGAACGCGAAAGUCCCCUUCGGGGGACAAGUAGAGUGGCGCACGGGUGAGUAACACGUAGGUAAUCUACCUUCGGAUGGGGAAUAACAACCGGAAACGGUUGCUAAUACCGCAUAAUGCAGCGGCACCUAAUGGUGACAGUUGUUAAAGCGGGGGAUUGAAAGACCUCGCGUCUGAAGAGGAGCCUGCGGCGGAUUAGCUUGUUGGAGGGUAACGGCCUACCAAGGCGACGAUCCGUAGCCGGCCUGAGAGGGCGGUCGGCCACACUGACACUGACAUACGGGUCAGACUCCUACGGGAGGCAGCAGUCGGGAAUUUUGGGCAAUGGGCGAAAGCCUGACCCAGCAACGCCGCGUGAAGGAUGAAAUCCCUCGGGA
rnacentral:rRNA from 1 species